rnacentral:rRNA from 1 species
UACGGAGGGGGCUAGCGUUGUUCGGAAUUACUGGGCGUAAAGGGCGCGCAGGCGGCUGCUCAAGUCAGGCGUGAAAGGCCUGGGCUCAACCCGGGAAUUGCGCUUGAGACUGGGCUGGCUUGAGUGCGGGAGAGGAUGGUGGAAUUCCCAGUGUAGAGGUGAAAUUCGUAGAUAUUGGGAAGAACACCGGUGGCGAAGGUGGCCAUCUGGACCGCAACUGACGCUGAGGCGCGAAAGCGUGGGGAGCAAACAGG